UACGUAGGGUGCGAGCGUUAAUCGGAAUUACUGGGCGUAAAGCGUGCGCAGGCGGUGAUGUAAGACAGAUGUGAAAUCCCCGGGCUCAACCUGGGAACUGCGUUUGUGACUGCAAGGCUAGAGUGUAGCAGAGGGGGGUAGAAUUCCACGUGUAGCAGUGAAAUGCGUAGAGAUGUGGAGGAACACCGAUGGCGAAGGCAGCCCCCUGGGUCAAGAUUGACGCUCAUGCACGAAAGCGUGGGGAGCAAACAGGAUUAGAAACCCCGGU
rnacentral:rRNA from 1 species